rnacentral:rRNA from 1 species
UACGAAGGGGGCUAGCGUUGCUCGGAAUUACUGGGCGUAAAGAGCUCGUAGGCGGCCUGUCGCGUCAAUUGUGAAAGCCCGGGGCUUAACCCCGGGUCUGCAGUCGAUACGGGCAGGCUAGAGUGUGGUAGGGGAGAUCGGAAUUCCUGGUGUAGCGGUGAAAUGCGCAGAUAUCAGGAGGAACACCGGUGGCGAAGGCGGAUCUCUGGGCCAUUACUGACGCUGAGGAGCGAAAGCGUGGGGAGCGAACAGG